GGUUAUUUUAUCUUUAUGGCUAUCAAAAACGUUAAUUCAGUGCUGAGGGAACCAAUACUGCUUUAAUUUUUUUCUUCCUGGUGGAAAAGAAAAGCUGAUUUGCUUUCAGUGAUCUAAUUCAGUAAGAGUUCUUUAAUACAGCAAAGACAUCUGGCAUGAAUGUAAGCAGAACAUUUGGAGGACUUCUUUUUCAUAGCCAAUCACUUGGUGUUAGAAAUGGACCAUUAUACUGGAUAAGAAGGUUUUAGAAUGGUUGAAACUAUCAUUUAGUUUUACAAAUUAAAUGUAGUAUUUUUUGUAAACAUUAAACUUAUUAAACUAAAAAGUAAUAUAUUAGACACGAUGUUCCUCUAAAGUUUGUUUCCUAUGAGUGUAGUUUUGCAGAUGGCUUUCCUUGUCUCUGAAACUUUCCUUAUGCAUUAAGAAAGUUUGCUAACAUAUUCACAUUCAUAUGUUUAAAAGGUAUAUUAUGAUUAAAAAAAAUCAAUGUGGAAUUGUGAAAACCCUUAGUACAAAUAAAAGCACUCAAAAGAGCUUGAUUGCAGAAUUAAUAACGUGAUAGUUCUAGGAAAAGAGCUGCAAUGGUAAAUUAAAUUCACUGUCAAUAGAUGAAAAUGAAAUAGCUUUUUUGCAUUAUACAUGAGGUGGUAUCAGAUGUGCAGGGAUGUUACAGAAAAUUGGUGUUUAUCAAGGAUAUUCCAAAUAGUAAAUUAAAUGCCUUUUCAUUUGAAUAUAGUUUAUUUUCAGUGGGUUGGAAAGGGUGCACUGAGAAUUGGAGCUUUUGUUUUUAGUCCACUUAGUUGUACAUUUUUUGCUUAUUACAUUGAAAUUGAUUAUUUUAUUUAUAGUUCUGAGGCAUGUUAUUUGUAUAGAGCAAGAAUAUCUGCUGGAAAAAAAUGGAAAGCUGGAAUGCGUUGAAUAAAAUUUUGUGUGUGUGGUGACGUAACCUGAUCAAAUGUGAGUUGAAAUGUUGGAUAAAAGAAGGCUAUACUUUGCCGGUAACAGGUGGAAACCAAUCACACAGUGUGGAAUCAAUUUUAAGGAUAAAAUAAAGCCUUGUAGUUUAUAAGAAGCUUAAAGAAUUCUGAACAGUUUGUAUUAAAAUACAGUUUUAACUAGGUUAUUACCUGUUUGGACAGAUAAUCUCUUUGCUUCAGAUAGACUUUAAUUUUAAUAGUCUUUCUCUUCGCACUUGACCACAAGUCUGCAGAAUAAUUUUAAGAUCCCGGUAUUCUUCAACAUAGCCUCUGAGCGCUUUUCAAUUUCUCUUACUCAGAUGUACGUAAGGGACACUUACCUUGCACAUCUCAGAUGAACUAAAUUAUAGACUGUGAUCAUAUCACCAAGUUAUAAAGAAUUUCUUAGAGGAUUAAUGAAAUCAUUUGGAAGCCCGUUUUUGUGUCUUUCAUACAUAUAUGAAGUUCUUAAAGCUAUAUAUAUGUAUAUUUAUGACUGUCAUAAUCUACUAGAACAAAUAUGCCUAAUGUUUAUUUCAUGAAGCCCCUUUUCUGUUUCUCAUUUGGUAAGAGCAUAUUUGGGGAAAAGUCUACUUUAGUUGUAUAACCUAAUGGAUUUUCUCAAAUUACCUAAGUUUUUAAGCAGAAUGUAAUUGUGUUUGUAAGGUUUAGUUAAAAUACUAGUGUGUUUUCGGAAACUUUCUUCAGGAUGUGUAACACAGAAUACAGACACACUCUGGGGACAUUUUAAUACAUUUUAACUCAAAUGAUAGGUACUUUAAAAAAAUUACAGCCAAUAUAAUUUCCUUGUAUGCUUA
rnacentral:sRNA from 1 species